UCAAGAGUUAUUCAAAAGAACGAAAACAAAACGGAGAUUAGGGAAUUAAUUUUGCUUUUUUUUUUCAAAAUAAGGUAUAGGAAACAAACAAAAUAGCCCCAAGCUCCCCCCAUAAGAAUGCAGAAAAUAUGGGCAUCACAUCAGCCCGAAGCAGACGAAAACCGAUUCGACCUGGAACCAAAUUUUUCUUCAUCAAUCAGCUGCCGUCAUAAGUUUCCAAGAUGGAUUAUUCUAUUUGCCAGGAGCUGGCAAAACCGAACUCUAUAUACCUGGUCGGAUGGACAGUCUGGAAUUCAUGGCCGCCGAAUCCUCACCGCUGUCCCCUGAGUUGAGGAACAGGAACAAACGGAAGGAGACUACACAUUAUCAACGGGCAAGUCUUGGUCGCUACACAACAUACACACAAUCUAGCUUUCUAUUUUGAUUCGAUUUCUGGCUUGACUUACCUGAAUUUCCGCGAAUCGUCCGUCCUCAUUGCAUUCAGGAAUGAAAGUCUCGCCAGUAGGCGCCGAUUUUUUGCCCAGUCCACCAGCACUGCCGACGCCGCCCGCUUGGUCUUAUCCUGUUUAACUUCGUUUCCCCAUCGUCAAGAAUAAGAAAAAGGCCCGGCAGGUUGAAUAGGAGCCGGAAAAAAAAAAGAAAAAACACCGAAGGAAGAACACCUGGGUUUCCCCUCCUCCGCUGGAAUGAAGAAGAACUUUUUCUUCUUCACAAGACCGCACCGCCAACAUCCUACUCCACACACACGUACGUACGAGGUCCCCAAGAAAAAGAAAAAAAAGGAGAUGAAUAUCUGGACGAGACAGAACUUGUCCAUUCGCGUCACGUUUUCACAUCCGGAAUACCAUGACGGAAUGGAAUUUCGAAGAGUCUCUUCCAGACUGGAUUGCCUACAGUACCCUCCACCAAUAAUAGCCAAAAGGCAAGUAUUAUUAAAAUAUCUUUCCUAGUAAAAAUGUACAAAAAAUGUUUGGACCAAACAAAAUGGUGUCAAUCUAAAAAAGAAGCCCUGGAGAUAUAUAUGUAUAAAAAAAGUGUGAAGAUAUCUAAAAGUCGAUAGGGCGAGGCAAUAAUAACCAUUUCACACCACCACAAGAGAGAGAGAGAAAGAUAAAAAGAGGAGCGACCGAUAGGACCAUCUAAAGGGGGCCAUAAGGAGAGGAGGACGAGGCGGAGCAGUCGAGAAAGAAUCAACCGGAAUAUUAUAGUACAACAGGGAAAAAGUGGUCGUGGAAGAAGGGGAACGACUCGACUGUGGCAGACAGCAUGGCGUCGGCCCCCUUUUUUUAAAAAAUAUUUUUUUUUUUUCUUUUCUUUCUCUCGAAGCGAGAAAAUCCCUUUCGAAUUCUUUUGUCAAGACACACACCAGAAAGUCUCUCAACGGCGCACGGGGUUUAUUUUUUAGGCUUGUCCAUCGGAGACAAGGACCGAGUGACCUUUUGACCCUAAGUCAUAAACUGAAAAGAAAUAAAGAAACCAAAAAAUUGGUAGAAAAAGAAGAAGAAGAGACGGCAGGGAGCCCCCGCACUCUCUCCGGAGACGAUCGUUUGGAAUCGACCUCUUCUUUUUAUAUGAAUAUUAGGCAUCCCCCCUCUUCCUCAAUCUUCAGGUGGCAAUUGUUAUACAUCCCACCAGCUAAAGGAGAAGAAGAAGACCGCUCUUUUUUUUUCCUUUCCUUUUUAAAGGAGGAUUUAUGCUACAGAUGCAACACCUGCAACACGACGCUAUAUAACCUGAGAGAGGCCGCGCUCUUUCACAAUCAACGCCCUUGAUCCCUCCCUUAGCCCCGAUGAUCAUCUACAACAUUCGACUGUUAACAGGAAAAGUCUUUUUCUCUUAAACAAGCUGCUGAACUUGUUCACACCUUGCAAUCAUCAAGUUGUUAAGAUUGUCAUCCGCCACUGUCUGCGGUUUGUAGUUAACAGGAUUGCGAGGGGAUUAUGUUUGCGAGAUUAAUGACUCGAAUGAGAGGGGGAUUAAGGGAAUAUCAAAAUGGGCCAGGGUAGGGGUGUGAAAGGCGGCAGAAUUGGCAGGUGUGAAACAAGACGAUGAACUGAUAAGUGGAUUGAUAAUAAUGUCCGUAAUCUUACCUUUGGCACUAGUGGAAGGUGUGAUGAAACCAUGUUCCAUGUCCAACAGAAGGUUAACAGCAAAGAGCACCAAUUCCGGAGCAACAUUUUUCCUUCCGGUUGUUGUUGUUGAUGUUGAAAGUUCAAAAUUCUCUCGAGGUGGGCGAAACACUCAAAGCGCACAAACUAGUUGGUAGCACUUUUUUUCAGGAUUAGCGAAUCGAUUAGGGAAAUUUAAAA
rnacentral:lncRNA from 1 species